GACGAACGCUGGCGGCGUGCUUAACACAUGCAAGUCGAACGGAAAGGCCCUGCUUUUGUGGGGUGCGCGAGUGGCGAAGGGGUGUGUAACACGUGAGUAACCUGCCCUUGACUUUGGGAAAACUUCAGGAAACUGGGGCUAAUACCGGAUAGGAGCUCCUGAUGCAUGGUGGGGGUUGGAAAGUUUCGGCGGGUGGGGAUGGACUGGCGGCUUAUCAGCUUGUUGGUGGGGUAGUGGCUUACCAAGGCUUUGGUGGGUAGCCGGCCUGGGAGGGUGACCGGCCACAUUGGGCCUGGGAUAGGCCCCGGACUCCUACGGGAGGCAGCAGUGGGGAAUAUUGCACAAUGGGCGGAAGCCGGAGGCAGCAACGCCGCGUGCGGGAUGACGGCCUUCGGGUUGUAAACCGCUUUCGCCUGUGACGAAGCGUGAGUGACGGUAAUGGGUAAAGAAGCACCGGCUAACUACGUG
rnacentral:rRNA from 1 species